rnacentral:rRNA from 1 species
UACAGAGGUUGCAAGCGUUGUUCGGAAUUAUUGGGCGUAAAGGGCGCGUAGGCGGUGCGGUAAGUCUGUAGUGAAAUCUCUGGGCUCAACUCAGAGUCUGCUGCAGAAACUGCCGUGCUUGAGUGUGGGAGAGGUGAGUGGAAUUCCCGGUGUAGCGGUGAAAUGCGUAGAUAUCAGGAGGAAUACCUAUGGCGAAAGCAGGUAUCUGGGCCAUCACUGACGCUGAGCUGCGAAAGCUAGGGGAGCAAACAGG